ensembl:snoRNA Gm22156 predicted gene, 22156
GUUCAUUGAAAACUAUCCCUGGCAUUGGCCUUGAUGGUUAUGUGGGGGUUAAGAGCUGCUGCUCAGAACCACUAGGGGUCUCAGAUCGCCACCUGCUACUCCAGUGUGGGAGGGUGAAACCUGGCCCUGACAGCC